AGAGGCCUGCACAGGCAGCAGGAAAAUUACUCCCCUGCCUAGUAAUUGUAAGCUGGCUCUACUUGACCAACAAAAACCACGAUAGGCACUCAACUCUGUGCCAAUUACCCAGUUCUUUAGGGCCCUGGGACCGACACCGUGAUGCUGGUGUCCUAACUAAGCCCAUUCCAGCUUUUUCAGGUUGGUAGGAUGAAAAGAUAGGGCAGGUGAUGGCAGCUGUGAAGAAGAGGAAAGAUUGAAGGUCUCUGAUAUAAAGACAUGAAGAGAAGACUGCAUGAGAUGUGGACCUUUGCUCCCAGAUACCCCAUCCUGUCCUGGAACAGUUAGUAAGUAUCCAUCUAGCAUAGGUGCCCCCACCCCCUCCACUGGAAGUGCAAGAGAUCACUGGUAGUGAGUGGCCUCCUCCUGCUGAUAGGUAUCCAUCCGUUCAAUCUGCUGCUCCUUCCCAUGCUUCCUAACUCCUGGUUCCUCACUCCUAGGCAGGCUCCUAAUAUUUACCUUGGGCCUCUGUUGUUUGGCUCUUGUUAUUUGUUAUUUGGAUCAGUUUUUCCUAGUCACCAAUCUCCCCUCAGAUAUCCACAGGGUACAAUGUAGCUACAGCCAUAGGUAAGAGACCUUGCAGCCUGCCUGUGGGGUAGCCUGAGGGAUCCACAGAGGCCACCCUGAGGCUGCCCAGCCUCUGCCUCAGGACAUUGGGAUUCAAGACUUCCACUUGGGCCACAUUAAAUUGCUCAGGCUUCUUGAGGAGGACAUGAAUUUUCCCACUGCAUUAUUCAGUAUGUGUCGUGUCCUCCUGUGCUGCCACAGUGCACAGUCUGAGCCUCCCUUCGGGCCUUACCACUAACUGCCCUGUGUUACUGUCUGUUGUGCCCUCCUGGCCUCUGCUAGGCUGUGAACUCCUUGAGGGCCAAGUCUGACUCCUCACUGUAUCCUCUUAGAACAAAUGCCUUUUCUAUCACACUUCCCUGUCUAGGACUCUUGAGUCCUCUCUGUCCUCUGUACCAAACACAGGGCCUGGCACAGAGUAGACAACAGUGAAGCUAUGCUGGAUUACUAACGAAGUUAAAGACCCUUGGCCUUCAAAGCUGACUGAGAAGGGGAGGGUGAGUUCCCUCUCAGGGAGGAGCAUGUCACAUCCCUCUAGAUUAGGGAUUCAUAGCACUCUAAAUGUGCUGAACACUCACUCCAAAUGGGUCUUCUCUGUGCUGGCCCCUUCCACGUCAGUCACAGGGUUUCCUGGGAACGAGCUUUUCUCCGGCUGCCUGGACAUGCCAAGGAAAAACUGAUCCAAAUAACAAGUAGCCCAAGCCCAAAGCAAAGCCUUCACUUGGAGUUCUCAUGUCACUGGUAACCCCCCCCCCCAUCUAAUUGGGUUUUUAUAGCUACUACUCCUCCAGGACUCAGAGAGAUGGCCCAUGCAUGUCUUGAUUCUGUGGUACCAGGUGCCACAAGUGCUCUCUGUACUGUGAAAACUACCAUGACUCCUUGAAACAAGGAAGACGAAUAAAAAGCAUAAUUCUGGGGACUACUAGUUUUGUUGUUGUUAAGGAGACUGAGAUUGUAAUCAUUCUUAUACUUAUAUUUAGUUUAUACCCAACUUUUUUUUUGAUUUGAGGCAUUUUCUUGCUUUUCGUACGAACUUUAACUCUCAGAAAACAUUAUUAUAAUAAUCCUUUGCACUUGUACACACUGAUAUUUGAACAUAGUGACGGAUUGAGGGAAGCAGGGCAGAGGUGACCAUGACUGGUUUGAUGACACAUUAGCUGUUAAGUGGAGGUACCUGGGUGCGAAGAAUCCCCCUCUGGCACCAGCCUCAGUGCUUUGUCACCCACGUUUAAUUUCUUUUUUCAAAAAUACCUUGAGAUUACUCUCAAAGUGCAGUUGGAGAGGCCACAAAUAUUACCUCAAUGAAGUGGGAUAAUAGCUUUUGCUUGACUUCCUUUUUGUUACAUUGGGAACUUAAGGCACUACUGAUUCCGCCAAAUGUUUCAGCUUAACAAUUCCAGUCCCGUCUCUAGGUCAGCUGCCUUU